rnacentral:lncRNA from 10 species
UGGUCCUUUGCAAUACCUCAUUCAGCCAAGUAUUUGUUCUCUUCCUCAUUCAGUUUAAGGCAGCUUUCAAUUUGCUUAGAAGGCAACAUUAGAAGGGUAGAGUUUAAUCAGAAACAUAGAAUUUUAAAGUGUGGGUUCAACUGAAUAAAUUUGAAUUUCUGUAGGAAGUAAAGAAUUAAAAAUCUAUUUAAAGAUUGCAAUAUAUAAUCAUUUUUAAAGUAUUUGUUUAACCUGAUGGGUUUUCCAGAAAUGAAAACAAGUCAGUUCUAAAACCAAAGCUGAUAUUUAGAAAAUGUGAAAAUGUAAAUCAGCCCUAUCCAUAAUAUAGUUUCUCUAAAACUUUAUCUUAAAGAGUCAUUUUAAAAGAAUAUAACUAUUCAUAAGUGUAACUGCUAUCUUAAUGUUUUGAAAUAAGUUAAAACACUUUAAAAUAUGAAUACUGUAGUUUGAAAGAAAGAAACUGGGGGAAGGAAAAGUAGAGAAAGAAAUGCCAAUUCCAAUGCAAGGCUUUAUUUGCCAAGUUUUCUUAGAAUGACUUUUACCAGUUUAUGAAUUCUUGUAAACAGAAUGUAUAAUAGAAAUACUGAAACACUGUUGCCUAAAGUGGCAUUGUUGACUGCUACUGUGAUGCUACUGUAAUGUAAUAAAUUAUUAAAUGGUUGCAAAGU